GACGAACGCUGGCGGCGUGCUUAACACAUGCAAGUCGAACGGAAAGGCCCUGCUUUUGUGGGGUGCUCGAGUGGCGAACGGGUGAGUAACACGUGAGUAACCUGCCCUUGACUUUGGGAUAACUUCAGGAAACUGGGGCUAAUACCGGAUAGGAGCUCCUGCUGCAUGGUGGGGGUUGGAAAGUUUCGGCGGUUGGGGAUGGACUCGCGGCUUAUCAGCUUGUUGGUGGGGUAGUGGCUUACCAAGGCUUUGACGGGUAGCCGGCCUGAGAGGGUGACCGGCCACAUUGGGACUGAGAUACGGCCCAGACUCCUACGGGAGUCAGCAGUGGGGAAUAUUGCACAAUGGGCGGAAGCCUGAUGCAGCAACGCCGCGUGCGGGAUGACGGCCUUCGGGUUGUAAACCGCUUCCGCCUGUGACGAAGCGUGAGUGACGGUAAUGGGUAAAGAAGCACCGGCUAACUACGUG
rnacentral:rRNA from 1 species